CCCUUCAUCUACACUGAUCGAGAUGUAUUUAACAAGUGACAUCAAUAAGGGAUCAUAGCUUUCACCUGGAUUCACCUGGUCAGUCUAUGUCAUGGAAAAAGCAGGUGUUCCUAAUGUUGUGUACACUCAGUGUACAUGUAUGCAAAAACAUGUACUGGAAGAAUUACUUUUUGAAUCCUUUUGUCAGUUUAUUUAUUCAGAUUUUUAUAACUUUAUGUUGGUAUAGCUUGUUUGUCAACUUUGGUUGUCCUUAAAUCCAAGUGAAAUCUCAUCUUAAUCUGUGUUUUAUGCUGGGUUGCUUGUGUUUCACACCCUUCCCCACCCUUUUUGAGAAAUGUUCCCUGUGGGUGUCUCAUAUGUCACCACUUGUCCAUUCUCGCUCAGUUGUGCCUCACAUCGUCAGCCAGUUAGGUCAGGUAGUUCUUGGAUGAACCAAUGACUUGUGGAGGCAAAAUGAGACAUUGUCUUGCCCUCACCUUAGCUGUCCUGGGAACAGGUUUCUUCGCCGUUGGGUCAGCCCAGUGUAUUACAUUGUGCGAUGGGG